rnacentral:lncRNA from 1 species
CAUUUUGCAUCAAUAUAAUCAAUUUUUAAAUUACCAACGGUUCUCAUUUAAUCAGUUCCAUUCGACGGCGUACAUCAAAUGACACACUUUGGCACACCGGAAAAUGGCAUACCAGAAGUUUACCAUAUAUAUAUAAGACGCAUGUCUGGUGCGGUUCGCCGCACUGUCGUUUAAUGCGAAUGUCGUUCCAACGUCCUCCUUCUCUUAUGUUCGUUGUCAUCCUUUUGUGAGGUACUGGAUUGGCUGAUGGAAUGAUAUCCUCGUGUGAGGUGCGGUCCCUCAUUGCGAUCGUCGGAUUUGAAAUGCGGCCCAUCCGACGAUG